AGCAACGCCGCGUGAGUGAAGAAGGUUUUCGGAUCGUAAAGCUCUGUUGUAAGAGAAGAACGGGUGUGAGAGUGGAAAGUUCACACAGUGACGGUAACUUACCAGAAAGGGACGGCUAACUACGUGCCAGCAGCCGCGGUAAUACGUAGGUCCCGAGCGUUGUCCGGAUUUAUUGGGCGUAAAGCGAGCGCAGGCGGUUUAAUAAGUCUGAAGUUAAAGGCAGUGGCUUAACCAUUGUUCGCUUUGGAAACUGUUAGACUUGAGUGCAGAAGGGGAGAGUGGAAUUCCAUGUGUAGCGGUGAAAUGCGUAGAUAUAUGGAGGAA
rnacentral:rRNA from 1 species